ACAACAAUCAAGGUAUAAAAAACAAUAUAUUACAACAGAAAUCCAAGAACAAAAUAUUACAGACGUAAUACUACGACUAGUAUGAAUAGCUUAUUUUGCCCGUACUAAUGCUACGACAAUCCAUCAAGAUAGGAAAUAUAUAAACAAAAACAGAAGGUUGAAACUUUCUACCACGGUCACACGAAGACACCAAAUACUUCAUUGAUACUACUUUUCCCCUUCUUUUUCUUUCCGUUCUUAGCUUUCAGCAGUGAAGCAAGUUAAUUUUUUAUCUCUUAAGCAUUCAGCACAAGCCUUUUCCUAUAUAUAACCAGAAAUAACAUUAAGGGUGCGACUUACACUUUCUACCCUAGUGAAACAUGAGUCACGGGUCACCCACGGCAAAAAUUUGUUAGUAAGAAAAUGGCCAACACUUAGCUUGAGAGAACCCAAGCUGUCAAGAAAAAAAGGGGGGAAAACUACGCAGGAACGAAAAAUUAACGUCAAUCACAACUCUGAUAAAGUUGAUAUCAGUACACAGCAAAAACUGUUCCGCUGCUUGCACACUGGCAAACAAAGAAACUAAGCUAAAAUUUACCACCAAAAUUUAUCCAGCCACACAAACUAUGCUGUGGCAGAACUCUGACUAGGGCCACCUCUACGUCCCCCUCUCCCCCUAACUUGAUAGCCUUCGCCACCUCGUCCACCUUGAGCCCUACCACGCCCUGAAAAAUCACGUCCUCCAAAUUCAUUUCUCCCGUAGCUCCGACCUCCACCAAAGUUUCCGCGGCCCCUGAAAUUGUCAUUUCGGAACCCUCCUCUUCCAGGAGUGAAACGGCCUCUCGCACUACCAACUGCAACAUCAAAUUGAAAAACAAGGCUUAUAAUAUUACAUGAAAAAGUCAUGGUCCAAUCAACUCUUACAGUUUGAAGGUAUGAAUAGAUUGCAGGAUUUGAUGUCUAUUUUUUAAUGUGAACUCAGCAUCCAAAACUUUAAAAUAUAAUACAAUCUUUAACUUGCCUCUAGUUGUAGUUCUCUUCAUCUCAACAACAGCUUGACGACCCCCAAUGGUAAUGGGUGAAGCCUGAAAAAAAGAAAAAGAAUUACCACGUAAACAACAGAUCCAAGAAUUUUUUAAAUCAUACACCUGUUUCACGUACUAGAUAAAUAACAGAGAAGAGACAUCUAAUACCCUGAGUAUAAAGAUAACUAAAAAGGAUGGAAGAGAGAAAAGUUAAUUUUCACCCACAUUAUGCACGGAAACUGCACAUUCCAGAUCCUACUUCAGACAAAACUUCUUUUAACCUUAAAUGAAGUUCAUGGACUCAGAACCAGGAUUAAUUAAUGCAUGCGAACCCCAAUGGUACCAAACGCAUCAGUUAGCAAUUAAAUAAUUCGUCAUCAAAUACAUCACUAUCUAACUUGAAUUUUAACUGGUUUUGAUUUUUUCUUCAAUAAGUAAAUACUUUUGUAUAAUUGUUACUACUAUAUAAGAUGAUAUUUCAAUUAUUGUAAGUAGGGAACACGCAUAAGCAACCGAUAAAAGGCUAAGUUUUCAACAUCUUCUCAAAGUCCAGAGAACACAAGCAAGAGAAACUAACACCACAGGAUUAUAAUGCAAGGUCAUUUAUGACUCAGCAAACUGACAUCAGAGCACUUCUUAUGGUUGACGAGUUACAAAUAGAACUGUACUGGAAUACUAGACUUGGCAGAGCACUAACUGAACUAAUUGUGGCUCUACCACAGGUGAUAGCAGAACUUCACACUGAAUCUAGGUCUGCACAUGCUUUAGCCUUGAAUAAAUACCAUUUCCUUAGAUUGUAGUGACUUUAUUGAUAUGGUGUAGCAUAAACAUUAUGCUCCAUCUAUAAAUGUAGAUUUUGAUCACUCCUAGAGGGUGCAGUCUGGUUUCACCUUUAGAAACAUUCUGAAGGUAAUAUGUGCACCCCUAAGCAACAGAAAAUUAGGAAAACUGGAAAAACCAUCCGAUCUUUGUGUUUCUGUAGCAGUACCACAAUUCUCAAUCACUCAUCAAAACACACUUUUCUUUAGGAAUAGACAAAAUGUAUGCGUACACACACAUCACUUGCUUUAAAUACUUAUCACGUUAUGGAUGCAGGAGAAUCAACUCAACUCUUGUGAGCUUUUGAGGAGCGUGAGGAAUUAUUGAAAUUAUAUGGAGUCUCGAAAGAUGGGAACUAGUCAAAGAAGUGAAAAGAGCAAGUCGAAAGCUAGAGCAAUUAAGGGC
rnacentral:lncRNA from 1 species